CGGAGGGUGCAAGCGUUGUCCGGAUUUAUUGGGUUUAAAGGGUGCGUAGGCGGCCCCUUAAGUCAGUGGUGAAAGCCCGCGGCUCAACCGCGGAACUGCCAUUGAUACUGGGGGGCUUGAGUACAGACGAGGUAGGCGGAAUUGAAGAUGUAGCGGUGAAAUGCUUAGAUAUCUUCAAGAACACCGAUUGCGUAGGCAGCUUACUAGGCUGUAGCUGACGCUGAGGCACGAAAGCGUGGGGAGCGAACAGGAUUAGAUACCCUGGUAGUCCACGCCGUAAACGAUGAUUACUCGAUGUCGGCGAUAGACCGUCGGCGUCCUAGCGAAAGCGUUAAGUAAUCCACCUGGGGAGUACGCCCGCAAGGGUG
rnacentral:rRNA from 1 species